rnacentral:tRNA from 1 species
GCUCCCAUGGCGUAAUGGUCACUGCGCUCGCCUUGCACGCGAGAAACCCGGGUUCGAUUUCCGGCGGGGUCA